rnacentral:lncRNA from 1 species
UGAAAUUGUCUUCUUCUAGACUUCUUCAUACCUUCUCCUUCAUGGUUAGCCUAACCUCUUAGAAGGACAUCUACCUAGACAAUCCAACACCAUCAACCACAUCUCUUCAUCUUAAAAAGCUUCCGCAACAUUCAUCAUCUCACAUGGAGUCCAUCCUUUGAAGAGCUUCAUCAACACACCUUGGAGAGCAUCUCUUGUUGAAGAAGCAUCAUCGAAGCAACCUCCAUCAUUUGGUAUCAGAGCUAUGGUCACUAUCUUGGAAGUCUUCAAGAGAUAAGUGUCUCAAAGUUCUUACCCAUUUUUCUUACCCAUUUGUGUUCGUGCGAAUUCCUUGUUGUUUCAUCUUUUCCAGCAUGUCUAAUAUGUUGUUUGAGUUAUGAGUACGUGUUGUAUGUCUU